rnacentral:rRNA from 1 species
AUUGAACGCUGGCGGCAUGCUUUACACAUGCAAGUCGAACGGUAACAGGGAGCUUGCUCCGCUGACGAGUGGCGAACGGGUGAGUAAUGCGUCGGAACGUGCCGAGUAGUGGGGGAUAACGCAUCGAAAGGUGUGCUAAUACCGCAUACGUACUGAGGUAGAAAGUGGGGGACCUUCGGGCCUCACGCUAUUCGAGCGGCCGACGUCUGAUUAGCUAGUUGGUGAGGUAAAGGCUCACCAAGGCGACGAUCAGUAGCGGGUCUGAGAGGAUGAUCCGACACACUGGGACUGAGACGCGGCCCAGACUCCUGCGGGAGGCAGCAGUGGGGAAUUUUGGACAAUGGGCGCAAGCCUGAUCCAGCCAUGCCGCGUGUCUGAAGAAGGCCUUCGGGUUGUAAAGGACUUUUGUCCGGGAGCAAAUGCCUGGUGUUAAUAGCAUCGGGAGCUGAGAGUACCGGAAGAAUAAGCACCGGCUAACUACGUGCCAGCAGCCGCCGUAAUAC